UAGUAGUAAAUACGAUUUGCAUUAUCUUCCUCCUUCCUUUAUUUGUCUGUUUUACACCCUUUAUUUGCUUUAAAUUUUUACCUCCAUAAGACCAUAACUGACCUAUUAAUUUCUGCUCUUAAUAGUAUUUAUAAUUCAUGCUUUCCAAGUUUUCAUAUUCCUAACCCCCAAAAUUUAAUUUAAAAGUUUAAGAUACCUUAUGGUAUUUCUCCAUCUACUCCUAUAUAAAUUCAUAUUUUUUGUUUCAUGAGACUCUACCCAAAGUUAUCCUCAAUUUUCACUGCAGUAUUAUAUUCAUGUUUUUCUUACUUGAAGAAGAAGAACGCUCUUGAAUGGUGAUAGGCUUGUGGGAGUGAAUAUCAACAAGAGCUUCCUAAAUUAUCUGUGGCGCAGCGGUGUGCAAUAAAUCGAGUUGCAUGUUCUUUUGUUGAUUGAAUUUACAGUUAAGGGAGUACAUUGUUAUUGUAUUUGGAUGGAGAUGAGAGUUGUGGAAAUCACGGGCAGUAUAUGCACAUACAUUAUAGUUUUUAGUCUCUUUCUGUGUGUUUAAUUUGUUUUAAAAUCGUUGUAAGUUGCAAGAAUAAAUAUUGUGUUCUUCUUCUAAAGAAGAUGAUCACAUGUGAAUUCCUAACGCUUUUUUUUCUCCAUGGAAUCAAUUGUAAGUCUGAGUAUUUAUAGAAACAACCGAGUAAGUGUAACUUUUUUAAUC